AGGGGCACCUGAUCAGCAUGCCGCGUGAGUGAAGAAGGCCUUCGGGUUGUAAAGCUCUUUUGUCAGGGAAGAAACACCGGCUCUAACACAGUCCGGGAAUGACGGUACCUGAAGAAUAAGCACCGGCUAACUACGUGCCAGCAGCCGCGGUAAUACGUAGGGUGCGAGCGUUAAUCGGAAUUACUGGGCGUAAAGCGUGCGCAGGCGGUUAUACAAGACAGGCGUGAAAUCCCCGGGCUUAACCUGGGAAUGGCGCCUGUGACUGUAUAGCUAGAGUGUGUCAGAGGGGGGUAGAAUUCCACGUGUAGCAGUGAAAUGCGUAGAUAUGUGGAGGAAUACCAAUGGCGAAGGCAGCCCCCUGGGAUAACACUGACGCUCAUGCACGAAAGCGUGGGGAGCAAACAGGAUUAGAUACCCUGGUAGUCCACGCCCUAAACGAUGCUGACUAGUUGUUCGGGAUUUACAUCCUGAGUAACGUAA
rnacentral:rRNA from 1 species